rnacentral:tRNA from 1 species
GCGGGAGUAACUCAGUUGGCAGAGUGGCAGCCUUCCAAGCUGCAAGUCGCGGGUUCAAAUCCCGUCUCCCGCUCCA